rnacentral:sRNA from 1 species
CUUGGUCAUUUAGAGGAAGUAAAAGUCGUAACAAGGUUUCCGUAGGUGAACCUGCGGAAGGAUCAUUAGUGAAUUAAACAUGCUUGGUGUCUUCGCUUCGGCAAGGCCCUUGCUUAACUCACAUCCCAACACCUGUGAACUGUAAGGCGCAUGACUAGGUUCGCCCAAGUCAUCGUCUGCCCUUUUUAACAAACAAUUAAUGUAACAAACGUAGUCUUAUUAUAACCUAAUAAAACUUUCAACAACGGAUCUCUUGGCUCUCGCAUCGAUGAAGAACGCAGCGAAAUGCGAUAAGUAAUGUGAAUUGCAGAAUUCAGUGAAUCAUCGAAUCUUUGAACGCACCUUGCGCUCUUUGGUAUUCCGAAGAGCAUGCCUGUUUGAGUGUCAUGAAAAUAUCAACCUUGACUUGGGUUUUGUGCUCUAGUCUCGGCUUGGAAUUGGGUGCUUGCCGCUUUUACGAGCGGCUCACCUUAAAUGUAUUAGCUGGAUCUGUCUUUGGGACUUGGUUUGACUUGGCGUAAUAAGUAUUUCGCUAAGGACAUUCUUCGGAGUGGCCUCGUUUCUAGGACGCUUGUCCGCUUUCCAAUACAAGUUCCACCUUGUGGACAUGACUUUUUAUUAUCUGGCCUCAAAUCAGGUAGGACUACCCGCUGAACUUAAGCAUAUCAAUAAGCGGAGGAAAAGAAACUAACAAGGAUUCCCCUAGUAACGGCGAGUGAAGCGGGAAAAGCUCAAAUUUGAAAUCUGGCAGCCUCAGGUUGCCCGAGUUGUAAUCUAUAGAAACGUUUUCCGCGCCGGCCCAUGUACAAGUCCCUUGGAACAGGGCGUCAUAGAGGGUGAGAAUCCCGUCCUUGACACGGACCACCGGUGCUUUGUGAUACGUUUUCAACGAGUCGAGUUGUUUGGGAAU